rnacentral:rRNA from 1 species
CAGAGCUUAACUCUGGAACUGCCAUCAAAACUUUUCAGCUAGAGUUUGAUAGAGGAAAGCAGAAUUUCUAGUGUAGAGGUGAAAUUCGUAGAUAUUAGAAAGAAUACCAAUUGCGAAGGCAGCUUUCUGGAUCAUUACUGACACUGAGGAACGAAAGCAUGGGUAGCGAAGAGGAUUAGAUACCCUCGUAGUCCAUGCCGUAAACGAUGUGUGUUAGACGUUGGAAAUUUAUUUUCAGUGUCGCAGCGAAAGCGAUAAACACACCGCCUGGGGAGUACGACCGCAAGGUUAAAACUCAAAUGAAUUGACGGGGACCCGCACAAGUAGUGGAGCAUGUGGUUUAAUUCGAAGAUACGCGCAGAACCUUACCAACACUUGACAUGUUCGUCGCGACUUUAAGAGAUUAAAGUUUUCGGUUCGGCCGGACGAAACACAGGUGCUGCAUGGCUGUCGUCAGCUCGUGUCGUGAGAUGUUGGGUUAAGUCCCGCAACGAGCGCAACCCUCACUUUUAGUUGCCAUCAUUAAGUUGGGCACUCUGAAAGAACUGCCAGUGAUAAGCUGGAGGAAGGUGGGGAUGACGUCAAGUCCUCAUGGCCCUUACGUGUUGGGCUACACACGUGCUACAAUGGUAUCUACAACAGGAAGCAAAACAGCGAUGUUAAGCAAAUCCUUAAAAGAUACCUCAGUUCGGAUUGCACUCUGCAACUCGAGUGCAUGAAGCUGGAAUUACUAGUAAUCGUGGAUCAGCGUGCCACGGUGAAUGCGUUCCCGCGCCUUGCACACACCGCCCG